AUGACGGUACUGACAGAAGAAGCACCGGCUAACUCCGUGCCAGCAGCCGCGGUAAUACGGAGGGUGCGAGCGUUAAUCGGAAUUACUGGGCGUAAAGCGUGCGCAGGCGGUAAGAUAAGCCAGAUGUGAAAUCCCCGGGCUCAACCUGGGAACUGCAUUUGGAACUGGCAAACUAGAGUGUGAUAGAGGGUGGUAGAAUUUCAGGUGUAGCGGUGAAAUGCGCUUAUAGGAAGGAACACCGAUGGCGAAGGCAGCCACCCUGGGUCAACACUGACGCUCAUGCASGAAGU
rnacentral:rRNA from 1 species